rnacentral:misc_RNA from 1 species
UUUGUGUGUGUGCCUUAGAUUUGCAUGCUUGUUAUAACUUCAAUUUAUCUAGCGUUGAUGUUGUGUCCAUCUUUGCCUCUUGCUUAGACAUUGUUGUUGCAUCUGCAUUUCUCUUUAUAUCAGCAUCUUUUGCUUCCUUUCCUACCUCCAUUCUUUCAAUUUUCAACAGUACAUUAUUUUUUGUGGUGCAAAAAAUACCACUUUAUUCCUUUUAUAGAUCAAAAUAACUUUUUUUUGUCUUAAUCAGAAUUGCAUUGUUCUACGAUCUAUACUAUGGAUAGGAAGACAUCCAUAUUUUAGAUCAAUACUGAUCCUGCUUUCCAGCAUGCCAUUCAUUGUUCUUUUCAAUUUUCCUUUAAAUAUCAUUUAAUAAAAUA